CACACUACUGUCGGUGGCAAUGCAUAUAGUCAGUGUUUACACCAUUGGUGGCCGCUGGAUAAAAUGUUUUGAAGCAUUCCAUGAUCUAAGACACAUUCAGAAAAGAGCAUAGCAACUAAGACACAUUACAUGACAGUUCUACAUAAAGAAAAGCUUGACAUAAAAAUUGCUAAGAAUAUGAAGUGUUGGUACUCUGCCAGGAAAAUAGUAGCUCUAUCAAAGAUGGCCUACGGUUGUAACUUGUAAUUGAAUUUUUUCGAAGUAGAAUGUGAUGUCUGAAGAAAGAAGUGCACUACUGAAAGGGAGAAGAUUACGUGGAAGACUUAGCAUUGUGGAUAGCUAUUGUCGUGGGUGGAUAGCUAUUGCAUUUGAAAUUAGUAUUUGGAUUACUAUGGAGUUGUUGUUGCAUUCAUAUUUGAAUUAUGUUAUUUAGAUAAAGUUAUAUCUGAUUUGGUACUUGUAUUUGAGUUUCUAAGAAGUUGAGUCCCUUUAGGAUUAUCUGUUAGUAUUUUGAAUAUUCAUAGGAGUAUCUAUUGUUAUCUGAUUGUUAUUUGAA